GCUGAGCUCAGUAACGUGGGCUUGUAACCCAAGUGGGGGCUUUAAGGUGUUGGGACGUUGUUCGAGCCCUUAUGGCAGGAUCAGGCUUGGCUAAUUUCUGGCUUGCCCGUUCCAAGCUGAGAGUUAAACCAUGGGACCUGGGCGAAGGCUUGGGUCUCCUAGUUCCUAGAGCAGGGGGUAAUGCGUGAGGCUGGCUUCACAGAGCAGCGAUUACCUCUCGCUCCCAGCANNNNNNUCAAAAUGUGCGAUUCUCCAAAUUUUACAUGGUAUUAGAGCUAUAAAAGUUGAAAAGAAACAUGG
rnacentral:SRP_RNA from 1 species